CCCUCAUCAAUGCUGAAAACUCCAACCUAUGCGAAAUAUGCAACACGCCAAACACGGAAAACCACCAGAUUUUUAUCUGCCCUAAAUACAAUAAUGACAGAAUGAAUUACAAUUUCUUUACAAAAUUUUCAAACUUACCUGCAGUACUCAAAAGUUUUGCCUGUGAAAACUUUCGUGAAUUGUGCGACUUCAUUCAUAAAAACCACAUACAGCUAUAACCCGGAAUCACAUCACUCAUAUCACAACACUACAAGAACAAAAGAAAUGGAAAACAACAAGGAACUCAAAAUAAUUAUCGAUAACUAACAAUCGACUACACAGCAAUGGUACAUGCAUACUACAGGUAUCGUACCAACCUCGUCGUGACGGCGUAAUCAAUAACCGAUUCCAAAAAAAAAAAAAAAAAAAACACAAACAAACAUAAAAUAAUAAUUCAAGUGAAUUCAACAACGUUUAACAAAAUAAUUAGGUAAAUAUGAAAUGAGAUCUUGUUUAUUUAAAAUGCUUUUAGUCAGAUCUUUUAAAAUAAUGCUUUAAAAACAAUAUGCAUUUUUAUAUAUAUUUAGUCAUAGGCCCAGUUGUGACUUUAGCAGAUGGUGCUUCAUCUAUAAUAGUAUUAUGCACUUGACGCAAAUGACAAAUAAGCGUAGAAGUGGAGGCACAUACAAUUUUGUAAUCUUUGGAACAUUUGUUGCAUUUUGUAUUGUUUCCAUCUUUUGGAAAAAGUUGCCCAAACAAACUCAUUCUUAAAGAAAAAACUAUUUUUAUUUGUAUCAUUUUUUGUAUGUCAUAUUAAAAACUUUGACAAUGUGGUUUGCUUAACAAAUGUUUAAAUUAAAUUUAUAUUUAUUUCAUAUAGAAAUUCUCACUUUUCUUCAAGUGAAUGUGCGUCAUGAAAUUUAACCAUAAAUUUAUAUGUAAACAAAACACAAACACUUGAUCAAAAAAUCAGAAAUCAAAAAUGUAUUAAAAUAUUUUAGAUCGAUUAAUCGGUUAAAAUUAAUCGAUUAUUCAAUAUUCGAAAUUUAGUAAUUUUUCUUCAUCGAAAAAUUAUUCGAAAAAAAAUUUUCCGAUUUAUUGAACAACGAUUAAUCGAUUGGACAUUCUAGUAAAGACACUAUAGUUUUUAUCAUAUAUAGUACCAUAAAAUUUUACAGAAAUCUUUGCAUUACAUCCAGAAUAUUUGCUACAGAAUAUGGGUCAUAUUGGUCCACUUUGAGGAAUAGACAGGAAGGAGCGUUUCGAUGCAAUAUUGACAAUAUUCUCCAGAUUAACAAAUAAGCCCCAAUAGUACAAAAAGGCCAAAGGAUCCUGACGCCAUGACCCAUGUUGGUACCAUUUCGUGUAUUGGGUUAAGGUCUACGGAUAGGCUUUGAUUCAUGAUGCUGGUUAGGAACGAAGGGAGUACUUGUACGCCAGAACUUGUCAUACUCCGAUACCUCUUAUUAUUGAUUGUCAAGGAUUCAUUUUCCAUUUGUAGAAUGAAGGAGACUUCAAGCUGCUGUUAAAGUUAUCCAGGAAUAGCGUCUUUAAGUAGUUCGACACUUGAAUCUGCACUUGUUACUGGGCGGCAAGCUGUUUACCAACCUUCAGGAGUCGUCGCAGGCAAUAUUUUUCUGGCAACUGAUUAAUCAUUUCCUUUUUACAUACCAUACCGUUGGUUAGAGAAUACAUUUGUCCUUACCACCAUAAAUUUUGGGUUUAUUCAUCAGUAUCGUCUUAUAAUCCAGGUCCAAUUUUUGAAAGUUUUCUAAAACUGGUAGUAUAAUCAGGUAGUUGAAUCUAGACUCUUCAACCUACGGCAACCACAAUACAUAGAGCAAUCGUGUGUCAAUCGUGAAUAUAGAAUCUUCUAAUAAGGUAAGGUUUUACCACUUUAUAAAUUGAUUACCAAAUCCCAUAAUAUAUAACUUUUUAUACCCUCCACCAUAGUAUGGAGGGUAUAUUAACAGCCUGUUCCACGAUCUCGAAAGAAAAUUUGUGCGAACGAAGGCUACUCACUCACUUUCGUAUAAGAAUGCGUUCCACUAACUUUUGUUCUUUCUUUCGCAUAGCCUUACGUGAUUCAGUGUUGCUAAAUAUUUUUUUUUGGAAAAAUUAAUCGCGAAAUAAGGCAAAAAAAGCGCCAAAUGUCUAAUUUAAACGCGAAAAAGCAGCAGUGGCUCUGUCUCAACUGACAUUUCAGUUGUAAACAAACAAAUUGUAAAUAAACAAACAAAAAAAAUUUCUAGUGAUUGUGUUCAAACUAUUUGUGCUCUUAGAAAAUAAAAAAAGGAAUAUUUCCGUAGCCCUAUUUUAUAUGGAUGAUGUGGAGGAGGUUCAAAAUGUGCCACGGAGGCAUUUAAGAGAUGCUUCGAAUUUAUUUGAAGUACCUAACAACCAGUUUGUGGCCAAUUUUCGUGUGUCGAAGGAAGUUUUCGGUUUUUUUUUGGAUAUGAUGGAAGAGAAGUGGGUGCCCGGUUGCAGAACUACCCAAAUCCGCCCCGAUUUAAAACUUCUGCUGCUUCCAAAAAUUGGCACUCCUCUGGCGAACACAGGAUUCUCCUCCAUAUACUCAACUAGUGCCCGCAGCUGUGUAGUUGAUGAUUUUUUCGUGCUGGAAUUGAGAAAAUAAAAAAAUAUAUAUUUGUUGUUCACAUAUUAAAUUGCAUUUAUUAUUUUUACUUACAUUUUUGUUUCCAUUUUCAAUCAAGCAAUGUUUAUGUUAAAAAAUUUUUCCUUAAUUGUUAUUAUACGAUAGCAAACACACAA